rnacentral:pre_miRNA from 1 species
AGUAGAAUUGUUGAAUUGUAUGUUAAGUUUCACUUUUUGAGAAACUGCCAAGUUGUUUUCCAAAGUGACUGUACUAUUUUCUAUUCCUACAAGCAAU